rnacentral:lncRNA from 1 species
UUUUGAUAUUUAUCCCAAAUUAAUUUGAUUAAAGUUGAAACUGGCUGAUUGAGCGGGAUGACCUAACAUUUCUGCCCUCCUCAAUCAGUAACUUAUUAUACUAGAAUGAACUGUUGGACCAAUAAUCAUGAUAUAUUUGAUCCAAAACCAGAAUAAAUCUUAAAAAAAUCCACAUGCUAUUUGAGAUAUUCCUAUAUAUUACUUCUUUCCUUUUUUUAUAGCUUCUUUAAUUACAUGCAAAAAUUAAAGCCAAAACUUUCAAGUUAUGAUCACUCUUUCCUUCCCACUCCAUUAAUACAUACUAUAUGCUUUUUUGUUGAUACAAGACUUUAUGAUGGAGAAUGAGGAGGGUUAUCGUGGUGGUAUUGAAAGCCAUUGAGGGUUUUUUUUUAAGUAUUUGGUGAAGUAUGCGCAGAAUAUCAGUAAUAAUGAGUGCUUGGCCUUCUUUUGGUGUUGAAGAGGAGCUUCUAUAUAAGGUUUUGAGCCCUCUUUUGUGUCCCUUGAAUAAAGACCAUACCGUCUAAGCCUAGAAGUUAAGUGGCAGUUGGUCAGAUUGAGGGGUGCCUAAGUUGACUUGAUAUGGCUAGUAGAUGGUAUUAGGAAAUGAUGGACGGACAAGAACUGGUCACCUCGAAAGGAACUUAACGUUAUGAAGUGGCCUUCUCCGAGGCUACUAAUUGGUUAGGUUGCUGUAGCGAUGUAUGUUGUGCCGAGAAGAAAUCAUAGCAACAUUUAAUUUGGUGUUUUUAUGGUCAUUUCCUUAAUUUCCACUUGAUGUUUUAGUGAGUUUUGUCAGCUUUUCACAUGGCAUUUGUUGAUUGGUGCAGUUAGUGAUGUAUUUAAUGUGUUUUGAUUGCUACAUGCUUGUUAUAACAGUUGAUGAGCUUUUUGUCACUUGGUUUUCCUACCUAGAUAACUACAAGUUUUAAAGCUUUUUUUUUUCUUCUAUUUUUUGUUUUUGCUUUCUUGUUUUAUAGUUGUUCCACCGAUUGACACAAACCCUCCUUGGAGGAUCCUGAUGUUUUGAUAGAAAGCAGUGUUUGUGAGUGUUGUGCCAGAUCGAAGGAGGUGGAGGUUGUCAGUAUCAAGUUAUCACAUUACAAGUAUGAUUUUAUAAUAGUUCUCACAAGUUAGUAAUGCUUCGGCAGGCACUUUUUCUUUCCCCUUUACUUAUUUUAAGCAAGGUUUCAUCUAUAGUUGAAUCUUUGGCUUGUUGUUGUGCUAUCAGACUAGGAGAUUGCUCUAGGUCAAUUGGCGGGGUGUGCUUGGCAUCUUUUGAUGGCUUUCUUUUUAAAAUAUAAUAAGUGUGAAUCACCUCAUGCUAGUAAUUUUAAAAAUUUAUUUACUCUCAAAAUUUCCAAUGAGAAGAAAAGUUGAGAAAUAUGUUGCUUUGUGAUAUGAGGUAAUUCACUUUUGGGUUUAGUUUGAGGCAACUUACAUAUGGACAAGUUAGGAGAUGAGUUUCCUUUUCCUACUUCCUACAAGGAUUGUUCUUAUACUCCUGAUAUGGAUGCUCAAGAGUUUGUCACAAGUUGAGCGAUCUCUUGAUCAUGGUCAUUUUUGGAGGUUAUAUUUGAACAAAAGAAGUUUGAAUGGCGUGAUAGCAAAUGAACUUAUCUCAUGAUUUAGCCUUAGGAAGGAGUGGCUAAUAGGUGAUCGGGAUCCUAUAACUUAAAAUGUUGCUUGACAAAGGUGAUCAGGAUCCUAUAGCUUAAAAUGUUGCUUGACAAAGUCAUCAAUCCUACGCUGCCAAACCAUUCAUUUUAGAUAAGGUCAUAUAAUUUCAAACAAAGUUUGCAUGUUGGACGAUUUCGCCAAGCAUCCUUUUUGCCAAAAGAUCCUAACCACCCCCCUCCGUAGAGCUAAGUCACAAGUAUAAAUCAAAAUGCUACUUGAAAUAAGGAAGAUCGUCUGCUCCCACGUAAUUCAAAAUUCUUUCAUUCAAACAGAACCUCUAAUAAUGACUUAAAGUCAAACACAAUACUAAUUGACCUAGCACAAUCUCGUAAUCUGAUAGCACACACCCUGUUUGAUAGCACAACAGAAACAACAAAUCAAACUCUACUUCAAAUGAGUAAAGAGGAAGGAAAAAUUAGUUCUCAUCUGUCGAAGCAUCACUCAACUUGUCCUACUUGUAAUGAGGUAACUUGGUAUCCUCAACGCUAACAUGGCUUCAACCUCUACCUUUUCGACUUGGAAAAACACUCCCAAACACCACUUUAUAUGGAAGCAUUAGUCUCCCAAUAAAACGAGAUUUAUGUACUAAUGGAACAAUAUUGACUUUUAACUUUUUCUCAACAAUGGGGCAGAUAAAAUAUCAAACGUCUCUAUGAUUUCUUCUCUCCACAACCUACUU